AUGAACGCUGGCGGCGUGCCUAACACCUGCAAGUCGCACGGAGUCCAGCCUUUAAGACCUUCGGGUCAAAGAGGGGAAGACUGAGUGGCGGACGGGUGAGUAACACGUGGGCAACCUGGCUCAUAGAGGGGGAUAACAGAGAGAAAUUUCUGCUAAUACCGCAUAAGCACACACUGCCGCAUGGCAGAGGGUGAAAAGAGAAUCGCUAUGAGAUGGACCCGCGUCUGAUUAGCCAGUUGGCAGGGUAAGAGCCUACCAAAGCGACGAUCAGUAGCCGAUCUGAGAGGAUGAACGGCCACAUUGGGACUGAGACACGGCCCAAACUCCUACGGGAGGCAGCAGUGGGGGAUAUUGCACAAUGGGGGGAACCCUGAUGCAGCGACGCCGCGUGAGUGAAGAAGUAUUUCGGUAUGUAAAGCUCUAUCAGCAGGGAAGAUAAUGACAGUACCUGAAUAAGAAGCCCCGGCUAACUACGUG
rnacentral:rRNA from 1 species